GAACGCUAGCGGGAUGCCUUACACAUGCAAGUCGAACGGCAGCGCGGACUUCGGGAUGCCGACGAGUGGCGAACGGGUGAGUAAUAUAUCGGAACGUGCCCAGUAGUGGGGGAUAACUGCUCGAAAGAGCAGCUAAUACCGCAUACGACCUGAGGGUGAAAGCGGGGGAUCGCAAGACCUCGCGCGAUUGGAGCGGCCGAUAUCAGAUUAGGUAGUUGGUGAGGUAAAGGCUCACCAAGCCAACGAUCUGUAGCUGGUCUGAGAGGACGACCAGCCACACUGGAACUGAGACACGGUCCAGACUCCUACGGGAGGCAGCAGUGGGGAAUUUUGGACAAUGGACGCAAGUCUGAUCCAGCCAUUCCGCGUGCAGGAUGAAGGCCCUCGGGUUGUAAACUGCUUUUGUACGGAACGAAAAGGUUUGUCUUAAUACGAUGAGCUCAUGACGGUACCGUAAGAAUAAGCACCGGCUAACUACGUG
rnacentral:rRNA from 1 species